rnacentral:rRNA from 1 species
AUUGAACGCUGGCGGCAUGCCUUACACAUGCAAGUCGAACGGCAGCACGGGAGCAAUCCUGGUGGCGAGUGGCGAACGGGUGAGUAAAGUAUCGGAACGUGCCCAGUCGUGGGGGAUAACGUAGCGAAAGUUACGCUAAUACCGCAUACGAUAUCUGAAUGAAAGCGGGGGAUCGCAAGACCUCGCGCUAUUGGAGCGGCCGCUAUCAGAUUAGGUAGUUGGUGGGGUAAAGGCUCACCAAGCCGACGAUCUGUAGCUGGUUUGAGAGGACGACCAGCCACACUGGGACUGAGACACGGCCCAGACUCCUACGGGAGGCAGCGGUGGGGAAUUUUGGACAAUGGGCGAAAGCCUGAUCCAGCCAUGCCGCGUGCAGGAUGAAGGCCUUCGGGUUGUAAACUGCUUUUGUACGGAACGAAAAGGUUUGGCCUAAUAAGCUGAGCUCAUGACGGUACCGUAAGAAUAAGCACCGGCUAACUACGUGCCAGCAGCCGCGGUAA